GAUGAAGAACGCAGCGAAAUGCGAUAAGUAAUGUGAAUUGCAGAAUUCAGUGAAUCAUCGAAUCUUUGAACGCACAUUGCGCUCUUUGGUAUUCCGGAGAGCAUGCCUGUUUGAGAAUCAGUAAAUUCAUCAACUUAAUUGUUCUGAACCGCAAGGUGACUUUCAAUUGAGUUGGAUAUGGGCCUUUUGCGACCUCACCGUCGCAAUGACCUGAAAUUGAAUUGUUAGGCAUCCUUAGACUUGAUUGUCGUAGGCCAACGCAUGAAUGGGGUAACUCACAAAUACGUUAGCUGACUUGAUAGUUUAUCCGAUGUGUAACUCAACCAUUAUCCAAGGUCUGGAGGUUUCGCCUCCUCUCCUUGAACACUUGGUCUCAAAUCAGGUAGGAAAACCCGCUGAACUUAAGCAUAUCAAUAAGCGGAGGA
rnacentral:misc_RNA from 1 species